UAAAGGAGCCGGGAUUUGAAACCAGGACCUUUCACAAGCGAAACGAGCGCUCUACCACUGAUCUACACCUCG